GACGAACGCUGGCGGCGUGCUUAACACAUGCAAGUCGAACGAUGAAGCUAGAGCUUGCUCUGGUGAAUUAGUGGCGAACGGGUGAGUAACACGUGAGUAACCUGCCCCGAACUCUGGGAUAACUGCUGGAAACGGUAGCUAAUACUGGAUACGACCUACGACGGCAUCUUCUGUAGGUGGAAAGAAUUUCGGUUCGGGAUGGACUCGCGGCCUAUCAGCUUGUUGGUGAGGUAAUGGCUCACCACGGCGACGACGGGUAGCCGGCCUGAGAGGGUGACCGGCCAUACUUGGACUGAGACACGGCCCAUACUCCUACGGGAGGCAGCAGUGGAGAAUAUUGCACAAUGGGCGCAAGCCUGAUGCAGCAACGCCGCGUGAGGGAUGACGGCCUUCGGGUUGUAAACCUCUUUUAGUAGGGAAGAAGCGAAAGUGACGGUACCUGCAGAAAAAGCACCGGCUAACUACGUGCCAGCCGCCGCGGUAA
rnacentral:rRNA from 1 species